rnacentral:rRNA from 1 species
UACAGAAGGUCUCGGAAGCGAUUGUUUCGGAUUCAGUUGGGCGUUAAAGGGUGCGUGAGGCGGCGCGGUAAGUCGGGUGUGAAAUCUUGGACUUAACUCCGAAACUGCAUUCGAUACUGCCGUGGCUUGAGGAACUGGAGAGGAGACUGGAAUUUACGGUGAGCGGUGAAAUGCGUAGAUAUCGUAAGGAAGACCAGUGG